UCAGCAGAGAGAGUAGAUCUAUGUGUGUGAAGCAUCCUGUGUGCGGUGCAUGGUGAGAAGUGAGACCUAGGACAGGCUGGGUCUAGAUGGUUGUUGCUUUGGUGUCAGGAGGAGUCUGGUUUUUAUUAUGAAGACAGUGACCCCUAAGGGAGUUAGAGCAAUACGAUGGAGGAAGCUAGGGUGGGGGCGGGGAGGCCAGCAAGUUCUCAGUGGUCCACUCCAGUGACAAAGGAAGUCUGAACCAGGCUGGAGUGGUGAAAAGGAAGGGGCAGAUUAAAAAGUCAUGGAAGUAAUACUGAGGGGAUUUGAUAACUGGUUGGGAGUGAGAGGAGAGGGAGAGAAACAUCUAAGAUGGUUUCUUGGUUUCUUGCCAGAACUAUCUGGAAGGAAAGUAAUGGGAGAUUCUAGACUCCACAAAGGCUGAGGCCUCAUCCUUUCCCCUUACCCCAUCCCAGCACCCCACAGGGCCUGCAUGGGGUGGGUGCUCAAUACAUAAAUAUUUGUUGAAUGAAUUUGAUGCCAGCAGUGGGGAGGGGGACCAAGGGAAGGAUAACAGGCUUGGAGGGGUGUUCACAGUAUGGUCAACGUUAAGAUACCCACAGGACCAUCAUGUCAGGCUGGCCUGUGGGCUGCCAGACAUGCAGCCUUGGAGAGAGGUGCUGGAGGGAGAUAUAAACUUUGGAGCCAAUAGCAACCAAGUGAAAACAAAAGCCACACGUGGGUUUAAAGUCCAGAGAUGGCUCAGAUCUCUCAGCGGGCUCCAUGAGAUUUGUCAUAAUAAUUAGAGACAAUCUCAGAUGCUGGGUGUAAAGGGAGCACGGUGACAGAUGAAUGUAAACUAAUUAUCCUCACAGCAACCUUGAGAAACAGGAAUGUGCAUGCAUGUUUCCUUGCUAAGAUACGGAGAGGAAAAAGGACCAGGAGAGUUGCAUGAUGUCCCAGAAGGCUGCCAGAGCCCUGGCACAGCUGCAGGAACACCCAGGAACUCCUUCCUCCACUAUCCACCCUUGGAAAUGUCAGCAUGGGUACUUUCCUCAUCAAGGAAUGAUUUUAAGAAUUUGUUUUCAAAAUAAAAAGGGGUUUUAGAGUUGGGAAGCCCUGCUGGUUGUAAUCAGAUGUGUUUUAUGGGACCAUUCACCAGCACUUGAAGAACAGGGAUGACCUAUAAAUGUAUUCAUGGAUUCAGACCCAGGGCAGGUUUCAUGGGCUGAUUACAAAUGCCUUGGGGAUGGCAUCAGCAUUCAGGAGACACAGUCACCCCUGAACACCAGCCACAGUGCCAUACACACCUUCACCACCUGCACUCCCACCUCCUCCUCAUCCCUGCUGCUGUGAUGCCAACUCCUCAGUCUCAGCAGCUCCUGGAAGCUCUAGGACACCUUUCAAGAAAACCACAAGUCCUUAUCCAGAUCAGGGCAGCCCAGGACAUUAUCUUUGUCCCCUCAACCCACAUAAGCCCAGCCUAUUCAGCCUAAUCCGCAUGACUUCCUCAAUCAGCCUGGCAUCCCACUCUACCAGGUCCCCCUCCCACCUCCUCCACCAUAAUAAGUUUUAUGCAGAGGGUAUAGCACUUGAAGCUAGGCUGACCUGGCCUCCAGUCCUGACCACUUAGACCCUGAUCUUGCAUGAGUCAGUCUCAGAGACUCAACUUUCCCAUCCAUGAAAGAUCUCUCUCCUUGUCUGUACCCUCCUGGGCCUAGCACCAUGCUUGGUGCACAUUUGGUGGUGGUCCACAGAUGCCACGUGGAUGCAUAAAUGCACGGCUUCCUGAGAGGAUGACACAGAUGCACGUGGAUUUUUAUCACUUGCUGAAUGGAAGUGAGACUUAACAGGGACCUCUUAGGAGCCUAUGGGCUCCCCCAAGCAUAAAAACAAAAAAACAAAAAAACUUCUUCCUUUCCUUCAAGGGAAAUUUCAGGCACCUAGCUUUCCCUGAGAAGUAAAUGUGAUAAGGAAGAAGGUAAUACUAGCUUAAGACCAUAGCCAAGGAAGUUAGAAUCAUGGGAUGCUUGGUUCCCUGGUAGAAACUAGAGAUAACAUCUUAACACAGGUCACUGAGUUGUUUUUCAGAAACCUGGAUCCCCACCAAAUGGAUCUGCUGGCACCUAGACUUCAGGUAAGGGGAAACUGAUGCCUGGACUCUGACCACUCUUCUUUGUUCUAAAUUUCUCCCUGAGGGGCCUGGAGAAAGUCACAUCCUCCAGCCAGAGCUAACAUCCCUUUUUGCUGAUCCCACAUUUUUAGGCAAUCCUUCCUAAACCAACAAUAAAUCAGAAAAUCUUUGAAUCCACUUCUGACCUGUGGAUUCCUGUUUUGAGAUGUCCCACUGUGUUAGGUCAAACUAAUGUAUGUUCUCCAUGUAUUGAUUUAUGACUUUGCCUGUAACCUCUGCCUCCCUGCCUUUAAAAACCCUUACCUGACAGCCAUCUAGGAGUUGGGGUUUUAAGUGUGACCGCCCAAUUCGCCUUACUUGCUGCCCUGCAAAUAAAUGCCUUCCUUUCAUCUGCUGCAAACCUUGGUGUGGACGUUUUGGCCUUACUCUGCCAGGGACCCACUGGAAAUCAGACUGCCCAGCUCUCCCGGCAGCCACUUCUAGAGCCCCUAAAGCUCUAGCCCAAGGCUCUCUGACUGACUCCUUCCCAGAUCUGCUCGGCUUAGUGGUUGAAGACUGAUGCGGCCUGAUCACCUUGGAAACCCCCUGGACCAUCACGGAUGCCGAGCUUCGGGUAACUCUCACAGUGGAGGGUAAGUCCAUCCCCUGUUUAAUCAAUACAGGGGCUACCCACUCCAUAUUACCUUCUUUUCAGGGGCCUGUUUCCCUUGCCCCCAUAACUGUUGUGGGUAUUGACGGCCAAGCUUUAAAACCCCUUAAAACUCCCCAACUCUGGUGCCAACUUGGACAACAUUCUUUUAUGCACUCUUUUUUAGUUAUCCCCACCUGCCAGUUCCCUUAUUAGGCCGAGACAUUUUAACCAAAUUAUCUGCUUCCCUGACUAUUCCUGGACUAUAGCCACAUCUCAUUGCUACCCUUCUUCCAACCCAAGGCCUCCUUUGUGUCUUCCUCUCAUAUCCCCCAACCUUAACGCACAAAUAUGGGACACCUCUACUCCCUCCCUGGCAACUGAUCACACGCCCAUUACUAUCCCAUUAAAACCUAAUCAGUCUUACCCUGCUUAAUGCCAGUAUCCCAUCUCACAACAAGCUUUAAAGGGAUUAAAGCCUGUUACCACUUGCCUGCUACAGCAUAGGCUUCUAAAACCUAUAAACCCUCUUUACAAUUCCUCCAUUUUCUGUCCAAAAACCGGACAAGUCUUACAGGUUAGUUCAGGAUCUGCACCUUAUCAACCAAAUUGUUUUGCCUAUCCACCCUGUAGUGCCCAAUCUGUACACUCUUUUGUCCUCAAUACCUUCCUCCACAACUCACUAUUCUGUUCUUGAUCUUAAAGAUGCUUUUUUCACUAUUCCCCUGCACCCCUUGUCCCAGCCUCUCUUUGCUUUUACCUGGACUGACCCUGACACCCAUCAGUCCCAGCAGCUUACCUGGGCCGUACUGCUGCAAGGCUUCAGGGACAGCCCUCAUUACUUCAGCCAAACUCUUUCUCAUGAUUUACUUUCUUUCCACCCCUCUGCUUCUCACCUGAUUCAAUAUAUUGAUGACCUUCUACUUUGUAGCCCCUCCUUUGAAUCUUCUCAACAAGACACCCUCCUGCUCCUUCAACAUUUAUUCUCCAAAGGAUAUUGGGUAUCAUCCCCCUCCAAAGCUCAAAUUUCUUCUCCAUCUGUUACCUACCUCAGCAUAAUUCUUCAUGAAAACACAUAUGCUAUCCCUGCCAAUCGUGUCUGACUGAUCUCUCAAACCCCAAUCCCUUCUACAAAACAACAGCUCCUUUCCUUCCUAGGCAUGGUUGGAUACUUUUGCCUUUGGAUACCUGAUUUUGUUAUCCUAAAAAAACCAUUAUAUAAACUCACAAAAGGAAACCUAGCUGACCCCAUAGACCCUAAAUCCUUUCCCCACUCAUUUUCAUUACACACAGCCGAAGUGCAGGGCUGUGCAGUAGGAAUUCUUACACAAGGACUGGGACCGUGCCCUGUAGCCUUUUUGUCC
rnacentral:lncRNA from 10 species